GGGGAUUUCUUCUUCCGUUGACUUCGAUAUUGUUUCGCAAUCGAUUCGCAACGACCAUAUCGUUCGACAGGAUCGCCUGACUGGAACGAGUAACUCAUUUCAUUCUACUCUUCAACAGUCCUAUGUAAAAAAAAGAAAAGUAUGACAACGAGACCGCUUUUAUGGCGACACGUUCUAGGUGACAUAAAUUUUUGUAAUACCAACACCGUCAUUACCAGCUCUUAUCUAAUCUCAAAAUUAUACCAUUAGACCUAAUGUAUCUCUAUUUCCCAUACAAAAUGGUCAACACUGCGCGUAUAGAUAAUGAUUAAAACAAUUGAGAACAACAAAUGGUAAUACAUAAUAAUGACGACAUAGAAACGAUAGCGGCUAGAGUCGAUGUAAAUAAUAAUUGUAUAAAAUGUUCCCGGUGGGCGACGAUUACGCGUUGCUUCGGUUGUUUCUUUGUUCCUUGUCGAAAAAUAAUGUAUUUCGUGAAACGAAGCAUCAAGCUGGAAACGAGGAGUCAAGGACCGAAUAUCCGGGUCGAAGAAAUUGCGGAGGGAGAGAUGCAAUGGAAGCUUCUACUGGCUGUGUGUACCUCCUGAUUACGCUCGGUAUAAAACCCGAGGGGAAGAUAAGAUUACGGUACAGGAUUCCUGUUAGCUUUUUCCAAGAGGAAACGAUAUGUAACGCGCAAAUAGUAGAAUUGCAUUGAUGUAAAUUCCAUUUAGAAUAACACCACUGGUAAGAAUUAUAUCCUGAUCGAACUAAACUCGUUACUUUGCAAAAAAGAGAUAAGAGGAUUUCUAAACUUGUUCCGAGACAUUUUGAUGUAGCAAAGGAACAAGGCGCCUUUCACUUUUCCCUGGUUCGAUCGAAACGAAGGGAAGGAUCGACGAACACCGUAGAUGGAUUUUCUGGAGCUACUCUAUUUGAAAAUUCGAAGAUGAUACGAACGAAGGAUGGCUAGUCUCGACUAACCCAGGCUCAUAUUUCUCACGAAAUCGGGUCAAUGUCGGCUCAAGGCUAAUGACUCGUCCGUGUUCCAGAUAGGCAAUAACAUUAUGUAUACGCUUACAUACAAUUUUAGGUACACAUGAUGGUUUAAACGAAUCAGUUAGAGAAAUUUAGCCAGAAUAUCAUAUCUGGCUAAAAAUGUUCAAUAUUCCUUCUGGCGAUU